AAUACCACAAAUUCCUAUGAACCCCCACCCCAUACUGAAUGACCCCAUAAAUAUAUGGGAGACACUAUGCUGAAACUAGUAACAAGAAUUUAACAUUCUCCAAAAUGCAAGCAUAAGCCAAAAUGGAUACUCCACUGGCCAUUAACGAAAAUGAAAAAAACACAGUAACACCACAAGAAAACUCUGGGUAUAAACUCGUUAACCUUACACUAGCGCAUUACUGGAAAGAUUCAAAGAGGAAGAAGGAACUCGGCAAAUUUCAAUCCCGCCUGUUUACCAAAAACAUCGCCUCUUGAAAACUAUAAGAGGUCCAGCCUGCCCAGUGACAAAGUUCAACGGCCACGGUACCCUAACCGUGCGAAGGUAGCAUAAUCACUUGUUCUUUAAAUAGGGACUAGUAUCAACGGCAUCACGAGGGUUGCACUGUCUCCUUCCUUUAAUCAGUGAAACUGAUCUCCCCGUGAAGAAGCGGGGAUACAACUAUAAGACGAGAAGACCCCAUGGAGCUUUAAACCGACAGCAACUCAAUUAUAUACUUCCUUAUACUCCAAAAGACAUGCACAUAGGUUUUAGGUUGGGGUGACCGCGGAGUACAAAUUAACCUCCGCGACGAAAAGAACUAAAUCUUUAUCCAAGAGCUACAACUCUAAGAAUUAGCACACUAACGAACAUGAUCCGAUGAUCGAUCAACGAACCAAGUUACCCUGGGGAUAACAGCGCAAUCUACUUCAAGAGCCCAUAUCGACAAGUAGGCUUACGACCUCGAUGUUGGAUCAGGGUAUCCAAGUGGUGCAGCCGCUACUAACGGUUCG
rnacentral:rRNA from 1 species